AACGUUAUCAGUAGAUGUCUCGGAUUUGACGUCUGCGUGUAUGGGCUGCGCGUGAUUCGUCACUAUGUGCAGCGCGCCCGACGCUCCUCGUUUCGGUCGGGGCACCUGAUAUAUUUACAACAAAAAAAGGUUUUAUCGUCAACUCCUAAGCGAUGCAGAUCUGCAAUCGGCGCUGAUGCCACAAGAACUGAACCCGGCUUUCGUCCCAGAGAAGCUGUUUCAGGAUGCACCAUGGCGUGCAGUAUUUCCUCUCGGCAGACAACGACGUGAGUUAGAAGUAGCAGUGGACCAGCCACCGCCAUCUCCGACCAUAUCACAAAGCCUUAAGGUCUACAGUCGCAUGGCAACUUGCGUGUCUCUGGCUAUUGCUGCGAUUGUCGAAAUUAUUCUGUAUGUUGUUGAGUUUUAUACUGUCAGUUGAGUAAAUGAAUGGCUACAUUAAAA